UGGUUUUGCAUUAGCAAAUGAAAAGGGAAAUUGGUAAAAAACCAAUGCUGUACCCGCAACUGUAAGCUGAGUCCGUACUACGGAUGGUUUCUAGAAACUUUAUACCACUGAUUUAUUCGGGAAGGUAUUUGGAAAUACGUGAGCCAGGAUACCUGCCAUUCAU
rnacentral:ncRNA from 1 species